UGCUUCCCCAGACAUCUGGACUUUAGAUAGCAAGUUCUUACUGAAAAUGUAAAAAUCCUCACUUGUGAAUUGGUAUUCCAGUCAGAGUUUGCAGCAGCCUUGAACACCAGAGCCCUGAGAGAUAAGGGCCGAAGAAUCUGGCAAAUCUGUUUGAUUUGCCAGACACAAGUGCCUAGAGAGCCCACCCAGCUGGGUGGGAGCUCGUCCUGCUGCUCCUCCCACAGUCUCCCUGCUUACAAGUCCAGGUUACAAGUCUUCAGAGCCAGGAUGGAGCCCAGGCCUUGUACCUGCUUGGCAAACCCUCUGCACCAGACUGCUUCCCCAGUCCCUUCAGGUAUUGUUCUGUGUAAUUCUUCGUUCCACUGUCAUUCUGGAAUAGAGUUCAUAGUGCUGAGGUCAGCUUCAGUUCCAGCCGAAAGGCUUUCAUUCUCCUUGUCCCAUCAGGCUUCUAUGUAUUCUGUGCAGGUGACACCAUAAGCAGCAUGUCAGUGUUACACUAAAAGCCAAAACUAGGUUCCUUAGGAAAAAGUAGGUGGCAGGGCAACAAAAUGAACAUUUCUGACUUUUUCAUAGUAUUUGGGAAAAGCAAUGUCUUUCAUUUCUGAUGCUUAAUGAAUGAUGUUUAAGAAAGAUGUCAUAUUUUGUGAAACCAGCAUUUUAUUAUUAAAGAUAUUUUUUAUUUUUU